GUCUACAGCCAUACCACCCUGAACACGCCCGAUCUUGUCUGAUCUUGAAAGCUAAGCAGGGUCAAGCCUGGUUAGUACUUAGAUGGCAGAAAGAAAAAAAUUGCCAUUAUUU
rnacentral:rRNA from 1 species